AAGUCAUAACAAGGUUUCUGUAGGUGAACCUGCAGAAGGAUCAUUAUUGAAUAAUAGGGCUUCCCAUUCUUUGGGGCCCGAACCUCACAUAAUUUCCACACACUUGUGAAUCGUUGGAGCAUGGAAGGAGAGACUCUCUCGAGUCUCUGUGAAAAUGCUCUGGCACCCAUUUAUUAUUACAAACUCUGAGUUAAUGGAUGUAGUUGUAAACUUGUCUUUUGACAGAAACAAAAAUACAACUUUCAACAACGGAUCUCUUGGUUCUCC
rnacentral:misc_RNA from 1 species